rnacentral:rRNA from 1 species
AUUGAACGCUGGCGGCAGGCCUAAUACAUGCAAGUCGACCUUAGUGGCGAACGGGUGAGUAACACGUGGGUAACCUGCCCAUCAGAAGGGGAUAACACUUGGAAACAGGUGCUAAUACCGUAUACAGAUGGAUGGACCCGCGGUGCAUUAGCUAGUUGGUGAGGUAACGGCCCACCAAGGCCACGAUGCAUAGCCGCCCUGAGGGGGUGAUCGGCCACAUUGGGACGGAGACACGGUCCAGACUCCUACGGGAGGCAGCAGUGGGGAAUAUUGGACAAUGGGCGAAAGCCUGAUCGAGCCAUGCCGCGUGUGUGAAGAAGGUCUUCGGAUUGUAAAGCACUUUAAGUUGGGAGGCGUUACCUACAGAAUAAGCACCGGCUAACUUCGUGCCAGCCGCCGCGGUAAUUC